rnacentral:rRNA from 1 species
CCUACGGGAGGCUGCAGUAGGGAAUCUUCCACAAUGGACGAAAGUCUGAUGGAGCAACGCCGCGUGUGUGAUGAAGGGUUUCGGCUCGUAAAACACUGUUGUAAGAGAAGAAUGACAUUGAGAGUAACUGUUCAGUGUGUGACGGUAUCUUAACAGAAAGGAACGGCUAAAUACGGGGCAGCAGCCGCGGGAAUACGGAUGGUCCAAGCGGUUUCCGGAUUUUUUUGGCGUAAAAGCGGGGCAGACGGGUUGUUAAGUCCGGAGUUAAAGUCCACAGCUUAAACGUGGGAUCGCUUUGGAAACUGGAUAACUUGAGUGCAGUAGAGGAGAGUGGAACUCCAUGUGUAGCGGCGAAAUGCGUAGAUAUAUGGAGGAACACCAGUGGCGAAGGCGGCUCUCUGGACUGUAACUGACGUUGAGGCUCGAAAGUGUGGGUAGCAAACAGGAUUAGAUACCCUGGUAGUC